GCAAGUGGAUGCCAAUCCCCAAAACCCUACUCUCAGUUCGGAUUGAAGUCUGCAACCCGACUUCAUGAAGCUGGAUUCGCUAGUAAUCGCGCAUCAGCCAUGGCGCGGUGAAUACGUUCCCGGGCCUUGUACACACCGCCCGUCAAGCCAUGGGAGCCGGGAGUGCCUGAAGUGCGUGACCGCAAGGAGCGCCCUAAGGCAAGACCGGUGACUGGGGCUAAGUCGUAACAAGGUAGC
rnacentral:rRNA from 1 species